UAUCUCCUCUCUCUCCCUCCUUCCCUCCUCUUCUCCAGUUCUCCAUGCCGUCGCCGCCGCCGCCGCCUUCUCCUCUUCCCCGUCCCUCACGGCCGCCUCGCCCCCUCCGCCUUCAGCGCCUCCUCCUCCUCCCCUUCCUCUCCUCCUUCCCUGCCUCCGGAUCCAGACCACGUGAUGCGGACGAUGCAGCGCCAUGGAUUAGUCCUGCUGCAAGAGGUGGCUGGAGAAGAUGAGAGGGAGAGAGAGAAGGAAGGAGCGGAGGGAGAAAGAGAGAGGAAAGAGUAGCUGGAGGUGCGUCGGCCGGCGUGCGCGCUGGCAAGGUUGGGCGGGACCUGGCGGUUGGCGGCGGCUCGAUCCACUCCUAAUCGGGAGCCGAGCCUGCAUCUCCGCCACUUCGCCUUGUUUCUCUCUCCACCGCCACCUCUCCUCGCCUCUCCUUCCAAUGUCGGCCGCCGCCGCCCUCCCCGUACCUCCCCCUCAUGGCUCCUCUCUUUAUCACCGGCGCCAUGUCUGUGCUCGGAGGAGGACCGCCGAUGCCAGGUUGACGAGGAUGAUGAGGUAACUGUUGGCGAGGGCAAAGCGAAGUCGUCAGAUCCGUCACCACCGCUAUUCUCCUACUCACCACCGCCGCUGUUCUCCUACUCGCCGCCUCCGUCGUCCACAUGCUCCUCCUCACGACCAUGAAAGUUGGCUGAGGUCUAGCCUCCCAUCCAUACGCAGUUUUUCAGAUUAUGCAAGUAUAUGCUUGGUCUGCAUAUUAGUACCGGCUAGCAAGCACAGGAACGACGACUUGGAUCUAAUGACUUGAUAUUCCAAUCCACCGAGAAAUCAGUUUUGACUCAAAAUGAUGGUAAGGUGUCACCAAAAGUGCUUUCUAUUCUUCCCAUGCACCACACCGUACCAACAAAGGCAAAAUUUGUUUGUGUGAAAGCAUCUGAACCAUUGGCUUAUUUGUUUCUCUGGUGAAUAAAUUGUGUCUGAAUGCAGCAUGCCUGAACCAUGAGCAUUAUUUGUUUGUCCGCUAAGCAAAUUGUGUCUGGAUGCAGAAAGUGAAAGCAUAAGAUUGAGUGAUUCAGAUCAAUUCUUGCGUUGUAUGCCUGUGAGAGAGCUGGCAGGACGAACAAGGAAUUUUACAAAACGGUGCUCAGUGAGCUGGGCUCUCCUUCCACCAAUAUGAAUGCCUAGCCUCAAACUUGCCUUACUUUUUUUGGAAUUGCUCUUUUUAUCUGUUGGAUCAUUCUUUUGUUUGUAAGAAAUUUCUGCAUUUUAGUGUAACCUAAAUCUGCUCAUUCCAGUAUUUGUUGAUAUCAGUAGUGGAAUGUUGUCCUUUCCUCUCUCUCUCUUUCUCUCUCUCUCUCAUUAUUUCAGGUCAUUAGAUUCAUGCAUUACAGUUAACUGUUUUUAGUGGUGUCAUGGUUAUAUUGGGAAAAGGUGAAACUUUGCUUUCCUUUGGAAGUUUAGUUACAACAGGAGCGUGCAUUCUAUAUAUUAAAAAGUUUAAACACCCACCACUACAAUAUCUUCAUAAGAAUCUUUUUUCUACAGUUAGCACAAAGAAGAUGCUUCUGGCCUACUACAUGAACUCGUUCUUGCCGACUUUAUCCUCUGUUUAUUUGCUCCGCGAGGUUGUUUGUUGGUUCGUGGGACGUCUGUGUCGUUAACCAACAAGGUUUCCGAUUUCCUUUUGUUCUACAGGCGUUGUUAUCAUUACUUCCUCUCCCCUUGCUGGCUCGUCAUCUGCUUGCUAUCAAGUUGGUCAUCGAUAACCAGUGGCUUGCUCGUUGCCUGCUUAUCCUGUCGUCGGCUUGUUUCGUCAUGGCUCCUCGCGCUGCUGCUGUUGCGUUUGGCUAGGGUGAGUUUCUUGUUUUGUUUGGUCAAUUCCUUCUGGCCUCAUUGUAGAUUGAUCUGUACUGACUUGUUCUUGUCUGUUCCUUCUCCUUUCUUCUUGUUUGUUGGGCUGCUGCAUCUGCUUUGUUGUCUGCCUGCGCGUUUGCUUGUUCUUUCUUUGUGAGGUCUUCCUUUGCGAUGUCUGGCUGCCUGAUCGGCUAAUUUUGUCACUCCCAGUUUGCCAAGUUUCUGCUGUGGUUCAGUUCACGUGACGCCUUGCACCCUGCCUUUCUUCUUGCCAAGAUGACAGCAGUUAAACAAGAAGAAGCAGACACAACCAGUGAUAUCAGCAGUAGCCAAAUUACCCAUGCCGAACCACUGUGUCGCAAGCACAAUAAGCCAUUCGAGUAUAUUCAUCGCCCAAGCAAAGCAGGUUCAAUCCAAAAGUUCAAAGGCAAGAAAAUCCAACUAAAGCCUGGAAAGUACAUUCUCCGUGGUGAGCCUUGCAUCCACUACUUACAUGAGUUUAGUCGCCACAUUGUGGGGGCAACAUAGUUAAGCUCUACAACCAUAAUGUUUGUAGACUGCGAAAGAUCAUCCGCAGCACCACCAGAGACAUUUGCAACAAACGACAAAAGAAUGACGGGACUACCGCUGUCAUAACCGCUUUAUCAAGGGUGUUUGACAAAAGAGCCACCAUUGGCUGGAGAACUUCUUCCCUCAGGCACACAUGAGCAAAGGGCAAGCAUAUGCUUUCGCCUUCAAAUGCACUUCCAAGGGACUGCGCCUGAUCGUCUACUCAAUAUAAGCAAGUUGCAAGAGCCGCUUGUUAUAUAACUUAAUGUUAGUAUAAAUGCCUACCAAGACUUUGUGUUUAUCAUCCUUUUAGAUCUUAUGUAAUCCCUUAAGACCAUCCUGCGUGUUUAACUAUCGGCUAUUUCUUACUUAAACUGUUGUGUUGUAUGCUUUUAAAACAGCAAUGAUAAAAGAAA